CCGUGGGAGACAGUCCCACCGGGGUAAAAGUCGGAGCCCCGUAGCUUGGGUAGCAGGAUCGCAAUUGGGAAACCGGGAUUCUGAAGCCUACCGACAAGGCCAU
rnacentral:misc_RNA from 1 species